GGGAAAAUUUAUUGAUCCAGAGAUAUUUCAGACCACGCUGCGAAAACACUGGAACUGGAACUCUAAAAGUAGUCUACUAGAAGGAGAUGUUGCUGGAUUGAAUGAAAUUCUAUCUCAUAAUAACCCGAGGAGCAAGGGAUGAUUACUAACGCCAUGGUGAACAUGACAGCGGAAACCGGCGAUACAUGCAUGCACCACGUUCAUCAGCCACACGGACGAAGAGCACUUUAUUCACUUUUCACGUGGCACACAAUGCCAGUCAUAUGUUGGCCGCCAGUCGGGAUCGCAAUAGAGAAUUGAAUUGGCUCCAGAGUGCUUCACCGAGUUAGGCGUCAUCCAGCACGAGAUCAUGC